UACGAAGGGGGCUAGCGUUGCUCGGAAUCACUGGGCGUAAAGCGCACGUAGGCGGAUCUUUAAGUCAGGGGUGAAAUCCUGGAGCUCAACUCCAGAACUGCCUUUGAUACUGGGGAUCUCGAGUCCGGGAGAGGUGAGUGGAACUCCGAGUGUAGAGGUGAAAUUCGUAGAUAUUCGGAAGAACACCAGUGGCGAAGGCGGCUCACUGGCCCGGUACUGACGCUGAGGUGCGAAAGCGUGGGGAGCAACAGG
rnacentral:rRNA from 1 species